UGUGAGCUCGAUGAGUAGGGCGGGACACGUGGUAUCCUGUCUGAAUAUGGGGGGACCAUCCUCCAAGGCUAAAUACUCCUGACUGACCGAUAGUGAACCAGUACCGUGAGGGAAAGGCGAAAAGAACCCCGGCGAGGGGAGUGAAAAAGAACCUGAAACCGUGUACGUACAAGCAGUGGGAGCACGCUUAGGCGUGUGACUGCGUACCUUUUGUA
rnacentral:rRNA from 1 species